AAAAAAAAAGAAAGAAGCCAGAGGGAAAACUAAAUGGGCUGGAGGUGAAAUGGAGUGGGGAGGUGGCGACGGUGUUGGUGGGUGGUGGGGGAGGAAAUGUGUUUGGACCUAUUCUGGCCGUCAAUACACCAAAGUUAUGCUCGAGUGCGGCUGACGACACUUCACUAGACGAGCUUUAACUGACUUCAGCUGCUCGAGCCCUGGUUCCCAACCCUUGGCUCCCCGGGAUAUGCAUAUGGCGGUCGCAUGGGAUCGCUGGCACAAGCUGGAGAGAUAGCGAUUGAUUCGUUUUAGCAAACAAAACGUUUUUUUGUUUGUUUGUUUUUUUUAUAAAAGGUCCCAUAGACGUCCGGUAUAUACAAACUGACAGCCUAAUGACUCAAAGCCACUUGUGGCUGUGAGUCCACCGGGACAUUGAUAUUACCGGCAGAUGCUUUUCAGCGCCAGGAAUUGG